CAAGCCUUCCCCAUUGGGAUUUCUGGAAACAAAAAAUGGAACGUUACCUACAAAUGGAAAUUUGUGCUCUGACUUCUCAACCUGAGAUCGCUUCAGAAGACUAACAGGAGCUCAGAAAGAAUGGUUUAGCAAGCACAGAUACAUCACCAGCUAAGAACGGCUUUCCAAAGACAAAGGCAAUCUCACUUCCAUGAUCUGCUUUUACAAACUCGGGUGCUAUGGUUGAGCUUGGUCGAUGCUGAAAUUCAUAGAAGUAGACUGGGUGGCCAGCAUCUAACAGAAAAUAAAAUGAAAAACAAGUGCUGAUGUUUCAAAUGCCAGCCAACAGUGAUGAUAAACUUUCACUGCACGCUGUUUUGAUAAAACGAAAACACUAUCAGUUUUUUUGAUAACAAAGUGUGAUACAUACAUAAAGACCACAGACAUGCUCAAGGAUGGAAGACAACGCUUGUUUGAGAGACUUGUUUGAAGAGAAUUAGAGACUCACCUCUAUGGUAUCUGGCCACUUCAAUGGCUGGGAAAACAAACACGUGAUCUCCUAAAGCAUCAAGAAGGCCAUCUCGCACCUGAGCACGGCUCUGUGCUUUCCCCAUGUAUUCAUUGAAUACAAGA